GAUGAACGCUGGCGGCGUGCCUAAUACAUGCAAGUCGAGCGAACGGACGAGAAGCUUGCUUCUCUGAUGUUAGCGGCGGACGGGUGAGUAACACGUGGAUAACCUACCUAUAAGACUGGGAUAACUUCGGGAAACCGUAGCUAAUACCGGAUAAUAUUUUGAACCGCAUGGUUCAAAAGUGAAAGACGGUCUUGCUGUCACUUAUAGAUGGAUCCGCGCUGCAUUAGCUAGUUGGUAAGGUAACGGCUUACCAAGGCAACGAUGCAUAGCCGACCUGAGAGGGUGAUCGGCCACACUGGAACUGAGACACGGUCCAGACUCCUACGGGAGGCAGCAGUAGGGAAUCUUCCGCAAAGGGCGAAAGCCUGACGGAGCAACGCCGCGUGAGUGAUGAAGGUCUUCGGAUCGUAAAACUCUGUUAUUAGGGAAGAACAUAUGUGUAAGUAACUGUUCACAUCUUGACGGUACCUAAUCAGAAAGCCACGGCUAACUACGUG
rnacentral:rRNA from 1 species